rnacentral:rRNA from 1 species
CUAACUGGAGGACCGAACCGACUAAUGUUGAAAAAUUAGCGGAUGAUCUGUGGCUGGGGGUGAAAGGCCAAUCAAACCGGGAGAUAGCUGGUUCUCCCCGAAAGCUAUUUAGGUAGCGCCUCGUGAACUCAUCUCCGGGGGUAGAGCACUGUUUCGGCUAGGGGGCCAUCCCGGCUUACCAACCCGAUGCAAACUGCGAAUACCGGAGAAUGUUAUCACGGGAGACACACGGCGGGGGCUAACGUCCGUCGUGAA